UCCGACGACACUCUCGAGCUCAGCCACUUUUCGUAACCAACUUCUCGACCUCUUCCCCCUUUCUCCCUAAGUCUGCAACCAUCGGCCAUCGAAUCUCCAUCAUCUCCUUCUUCAACCUCGUCUGUCCUUGCUUUGUCGCUUGACAAAUGGCUGCUUCCAACCUUAAGCCUUCAGCAAAAGAUCUUCCUUACUGGUUUUCCCAAGUGUGUUCAAUCUGUUGACCUUCUGGUGUUUGACGCUCAGAGUGUCUGCUUGAUUGCCUCGACCUUUUCAAUGAAUGUGCGACUCUAGAGAUUGCUAACAGAGUGGAAGCCUCAAGAUGGGUGUGCCAUCGUAGGGCUCAUUCGAGACCCACACCUAAUCCUAGCCGCUUAACAGCAAAAUCAGCCUAGGAAAUGUUGAGAGAUUUCAGGCUGAUGGAGACGAGAGAAUUGCUAGCAGAAAGAGCUGAGAACUUCCUGAUUUCCUUGAAGCAGAGGUUCUUAGGUUUAACUCAAAUUACCCUAGGCACCAGCAAGAUCCAAUGCAAAAAGGAAAGAAAGGAAGAUGAUGGAGUAACUUUGAUGGGAAAGAAGAAUGGGAUGUGAAGUUUCUUUAUUUGACUUCGGAGAUUGGCACGAAGGAAGAAGAAAAUGUUAAGGCUUAUCACUUUUAAGUUGAGGAGUAGAUUCACCAGGCUUAUUGCUAGAAGGUAAACCGUAUUUGCUGGUCAAACAUCUAGAGGUCCUACCAACUGUCAUGCUGCUACAGGCUAUCAGUGAAAAAGUUCAAUUGAUCAGCUUCAUAGGUUGAAAAUGGGGCAGCAUUUGCUUCAGUUGAUUAAAAGCCACUGAAAGAAGCAAGCUGUUAUUCCUUAAUAUUGUUAAAGCACAGACCAUGACAGCACCGUCCAUGAGACAAGGUUUCUUGAGGUUGACAACAUGAGCAAUCUGGUUUCAUAGGUUGAUUAAAAGGGGCAGCAUUUGCUUCAGUUGAUUAAAGCCACUGAAAGAAGCAAGCUGUUAUUCCUUAAAUUUGUUAAAACACAGACCAUGACAGCACCUUCCACGAGAAAAGGUUUCUUUGAAGUUGACAACAUGAACGAUCUGGUUUCAAAAUAUCAACAGCAUCAAGAUGCCGUUGUUGAUGGAGUAGAGUAUGAAGGCGAAGAACAUAUUGACAUGAAUAUGACAUCAAUGGAUGGAGCUGUCUCCAUCUUAAUCAUUCUUUCUUGUGAGCUCUAAUAUCUUCUAUUGAAUUUGUUUUAUCGAUUUAGAUAUACAUAUAAUCUUUUGAUUAAUAUAUAUUGUUAUACGAUUCAUUUUCUGAAGUUUGUGGUAAGUCGUGUAUUUUAAAUAUGAUGUGAUCU